AAUAUCAUAUUAAAACACCGGUUCUCAUACCAAAGUUAAGCAAUGUUGGGCCUAGUCAGUACUUACAUGCAUGAUCACUUGGGAAUACCAGGUGCUGUAU